rnacentral:lncRNA from 1 species
CUUCAGUCCGUAGGUGGCUGUUUUCAUUGUCUUAUCACCAUGGAUUUCCUCAAACUUAACUAGAAGAGGAGAAGGAGAAGAAGAAAGAAGAGGAGGGGGAGGAGGAGGAGGAGCAGGAGGAGGAGGAGGAGAACAUGCUUGGUGUCUUAAGGAGAGUCCCUACAAGAACUGAAGGUUGCAGUGUGAAGAAUCCAGUGUCCACCCAUCUGGAAGGGCUGUGAUCCUGAUUCCCAUGAGUAGCACAUGGUAGUUGCUGUUACCUUGGACUGAUUCAUGAAGAUUCUCACCCUCCCUUGUUUGGGAUGAACUUGGAUUCUAAGGAGAC